rnacentral:rRNA from 1 species
UACGUAGGGUCCGAGCGUUGCUCGGAAUCACUGGGCGUAAAGCGCACGUAGGCGGACUCUUAAGUCGGUGGUGAAAUCCUGGAGCUCAACUCCAGAACUGCCUUCGAUACUGAGAGUCUCGAGUCCGAGAGAGGUGAGUGGAACUGCGAGUGUAGAGGUGAAAUUCGUAGAUAUUCGCAAGAACACCAGUGGCGAAGGCGGCUCACUGGCUCGGUACUGACGCUGAGGUGCGAAAGCGUGGGGAGCAAACAGG